GCGUCGGUAGUGCAACGGUUCAGCACACCCCCAAAUAGGGUGAGAUCUGGGUUCGAUUCCCAGCUGCUGCA